ensembl:lncRNA
ACAGUACGUAUUAGAAACAAAAGGGUUACAGGUGAGACUUAGACUUUACUAAAGAAUCAGACUUUCAAAGGGCUGACUCUGAAUUUUAAAUUCUCGUACAUUUGUUUCAUUUUUUUUUCUUCUCUUUUUCAAGGGAAAAAAAGGUUUGGUCUCUGUGAGCUGUAAGUCACCUCUAGAGUCAGCGGUGAUACGAGAGCAUACCAUGAAAAAAAAGUGAAAUCAGCAUGAAGGCUGAAAUACUGUUUUCUUAAGGCACUGUUGGAACUGGCAAAAGGCAGAACUUUAAGAAAGUUGUUAAACCUCCUCAGAGUUGUUGAAACUCCCCGAUCUUCAGAAUGGAAUGGUGCCUGCCGUAUAGUGCAAUCACGGGAGACCACGGUCAUUUCUCAUCAAGAAAAAUGCUUUUUAAUGUGUACUUUAACUUUGCAAUAACUUCCUUUUCAAGCACAGGCCUGGCUGCCUGCCGGGUCCAGCAUCGCUCUCUGAACAGCUGAUGUCUGAGCGUCCUCCAGGCACAGCUUGCCAAAGCCUGGUCCUGCGCCUUGCACUGCUGCUUCAGCAGCCUUUGAUUACAUGACUCUGCUGUCGAUUUUCCCAUCGGAUCUUUCUCACUGCUGGUGUGAAGACUCCUGUCCUCCUUCAGGC